rnacentral:rRNA from 1 species
AGGGCGAACGCUGGCGGCGUGCUUAACACAUGCAAGUCGAGCGGUAAGGCCUUUCGGGGUACACGAGCGGCGAACGGGUGAGUAACACGUGGGUGAUCUGCCCUGCACUUCGGGAUAAGCCUGGGAAACUGGGUCUAAUACCGGAUAUGACCUCAGGUUGCAUGACUUGGGGUGGAAAGAUUUAUCGGUGCAGGAUGGGCCCGCGGCCUAUCAGCUUGUUGGUGGGUAAUGGCCUACCAAGGCGACGACGGGUAGCCGACCUGAGAGGGUGACCGGCCACACCGGGACUGAGACACGGCCCAAACUCCUACGGGAGGCAGCAGUGGGGAAUCUUGCGCAAUGGGCGAAAGCCUGACGCAGCCAUGCCGCGUGUAUGAUGAAGGUCUUAGGAUUGUAAAAUACUUUCACCGUGAAGAUAAUGACUGUAGCCGGAGAAGAAGCCCCGACUAACUCGUGCCAGCAGCCGAC